rnacentral:rRNA from 1 species
GAUGAACGCUGGCGGCGUGCCUAAUACAUGCAAGUAGAACGCUGAAGGAGGAGCUUGCUCUUCUGGAUGAGUUGCGAACGGGUGAGUAACGCGUAGGUAACCUGCCUGGUAGCGGGGGAUAACUAUUGGAAACGAUAGCUAAUACCGCAUGACAACAGUUAUUGCAUGAUAACUGUUUAAAAGGGGCAACUGCUCCACUACCAGAUGGACCUGCGUUGUAUUAGCUAGUUGGUGAGGUAACGGCUCACCAAGGCGACGAUACAUAGCCGACCUGAGAGGGUGAUCGGCCACACUGGGACUGAGACACGGCCCAGACGCCUACGGGAGGCAGCAGUAGGGAAUCUUCGGCAAUGGACGGAAGUCUGACCGAGCAACGCCGCGUGAGUGAAGAAGGUUUUCGGAUCGUAAAGCUCUGUUGUAAGAGAAGAACGAGUGUGAGAGUGGAAAGUUCACACUGUGACGGUAACUUACCAGAAAGGGACGGCUAACUACGUG